AGAGUAUUUGCGUCUGAUGAGAGAUCUUCCACUUGAUGCUUCAGGAAAAGUAUAUAAGAAAAGGAUAUUGGAAUGUAUAAGGCAUCUUAAAAGAGGAAAAGUUGAUCUGAAUAACUUGAGCCCAUUUCUAGAAACCAUGGGACUCAAUCUC